AUUGAACGCUGGCGGCAGGCCUAACACAUGCAAGUCGAACGAGUGGCGGACGGGUGAGUAAUGUCUGGGAAACUGCCUGAUGGAGGGGGAUAACUACUGGAAACGGUAGCUAAUACCGCAUACCAUCGGAUGUGCCCAGAUGGGAUUAGCUAGUAGGUGGGGUAACGGCUCACCUAGGCCACGAUGCCUAGCUGGUCUGAGAGGGUGAGCGGCCACACGGGAACUGAGACACGGCCCAGACUCCUACGGGAGGCAGCAGUGGGGAAUAUUGCACAAUGGGCGAAAGCCUGAUGCAGCCAGGCCGCGUGUAUGAAGAAGGUCUUCGGGUUGUAAAGUACUUUCAGCGGGGAGGCGUUACCUGAAGAAGAAGCAACGGCUAACUCCGUGCCAGCAGCCGCGGUAAUUC
rnacentral:rRNA from 1 species